AGGAGUACCCGGGCGCCU
rnacentral:siRNA from 1 species